AAGAGUACAACGCACCUUUCACAUUUGAUAGUGACAUGUAUGUAUGUGCUAGACCUCCCCCCUGAAGUUCGCACCCCCCUGAUCUUUACAUCAAUCAUAGGGCUCUUCCUGAUUCUUACUAAUCACGGAAGUUUCAACAACUUAGCAUGUCAAUGCUUUUUAACAUGUUUUCAAAUGUGGCAUUGGGCAAUGAUUAACUAAAUCAUGCCGUAUUGUCCUCAAAUGAUCUUUUACACUUAGAUCUUGAGGAGAAGGUCGCUUGUGAACUCAAAACAUAAGUUCGUGUAGGAAAUCAGGUUUCCGCGCAGCAUGACCUUCAAUUACUAGAACAGUCGUAACUUCCUCUAGGAAAUACAUAUGAACGAACCGUAAACGGUUUUGGAAACUAGACUCAUUUAGCUUUCCAACCGUAUAUUACACACAUUCUGGUUCAUCAGGAGCUGUUCACAAAAUCCCGUCGAAGUUGACUGUUUUGCCAAAAUCAGAUUCUCGGACAGAUUCGUCCUACUUUACGGAAACGGCCAUAACUCACUCAAUAUGAUAGGUAUAAUCAAAUGGUUGGUGUCUCUGGAACGUAGACACAUAGACCUUUCCAAUGGUAUCAAUUUCACCAUUUUUCAGUGAGUGAGAUUUCCUAUAGGUCCCGUGGAAGUUGACCUAUAAAACUUGACAGAUUCUGAUUUCGCUUUUGAUGUGUCUUUCUUAUGUAGGGAUAGAAUAAGCCUCAACCUUUCAUACCAUUAAGUAUUGAAAAAGGAGUUACUGCCAUUACAUUGGCGUUGCAUGGGCGCAUAGCUACACUUAGCUUUACAACUUUUCAUAACGAAUGAGAUGUCAAGUCUUUCGUAUUGUGUUGAGUACAUUGAUGCGUCUAAUUGUCCUUUGAUGGGAACUCCAUCUCUUAACACAUAUUUGUCAUCUUGUUUUAGACAAAACAACGGAUCUCUCUUUAGAGCAAAGACCUUGACUAAUCAUGGGAGUAUAUGUAGGCCUCACUAGUUAUAGAGCGCCUAAGCCGAUUGAUGGAAAAUCAUCAUCAAUACAGUCAUCGAGUGCCUUAUCGAG
rnacentral:lncRNA from 1 species